GACGAACGCUGGCGGCGUGCUUAACACAUGCAAGUCGAACGGAGUGGCGAACGGGUGAGUAACACGUGGGUGACCUGCCCUGCACUUCGGGAUAAGCCUGGGAAACUGGGUCUAAUACCGGAUAGUGUGGGAUGGGCCCGCGGCCUAUCAGCUUGUUGGUGGGGUAAUGGCCUACCAAGGCGGCGACGGGUAGCCGGCCUGCGAGGGUGGACGGCCACAGAGGGACUAGGGCACGGACCAGAGUGCUACGGUAGGCAGCAGUGGGGAAUAUUGGACAAUGGGCGGAAGCCUGAUGCAGCGACGCCGGGUGGGGGAGGACGGCCUUCGGGUGGGAAACUCCUUUCACCAUCGACGCGGUAGAUGGAGAAGAAGCACCGGCUAACUACGUGCCAGCAGCCGCGGUAAUAC
rnacentral:rRNA from 1 species